UAGGUGUGCUUCACUUUCGACGCCAUUAAGGAAGAAGGGAACAGCAGCAAGGGCCUGAGACUGUCCUCUCGAAAACGUUAACGGUUAGGACAAUUUCGCCGAUGACACAACAACAAAGAUGAAGAGGAGGACUUUUUGGACGUCCUGCUUUAAUACUUGUUGAAAAUGCAUUAUGUCAGAGAGAGUCCUCGUCUGUAUGGAGCGGAUACAAACAGCUGCAUUAUUUGUUGAGCGUGCCUCACCGUUUCCAUGAAGGGUCUGAUGUCACAACGUUUCCAUGGUUUUGGGCUGCCAACGUGACACUUGGUCUCCAGGACAUCCAGGUCCAGCUCCAGCUUCUGGUUCCCACUGAGGUGACAUUCAACGUUCAGCACUCUCCACUGCCAAGUCCUCCAUGGCUGAGUCUGUUCCUCAUCCUGUCUCUGUUAGGGUGCAGAUGGCAGCUCCAUGAGGUAGUGAUCCCACCUGCCUUUAACCUGCACGCUGCACAACCUGACUUGGCUCUUUGGCCUUGGUGUAGUUGUCAGGAUGGAGGGUGUCUCAUGAACCAGUCAACUUUGUUUUCAUAAAAUCCAAGGCCUCAGUCAUCUUUGUUCAAUCCUGCAGAGCUUGUAAAACCAUGUUUAAAACAACAAGGAUUUUACUAAAUUUGAGUAAAGUAGACGUGAGCAUGCAUUUUCCAUGGUGAGAGUUUAAGUCAGAGUUCAAUAUUUUGGAACGCUGAAGUGCCAGUGAAGUACAGUGACAACUAUAAGAAAGCUCACUGUGGUAAA